CAUAACAACUUAAUUUAGAUGAAGUUGUUAUGGUGUCUAAACUGUCCCCUUAAGGUGAAAAUAGCCAAACUGGAAACAUUGUAAAUUUUGAAAACCAGUUAAAUUUCGAAAUUCAUUUUGAAUUCUCACUUCAGUAAAUAACUAUGAGCAUCUUAUUAAAGCCAUAAUUAAACGGUUAAAGCUUCAGCACUCUUGGGGAGAAAGGCUCAGUAUCAG